rnacentral:tRNA from 1 species
UAUAGCUCAGUGGCACAGCACUUGCUUGGCAAGCAUGAGGUCCUGAGUUUGAUUCCCGGUA